AGAGUUUGAUCAUGGCUCAGGAUGAACGCUAGCGGCAGGCUUAAUACAUGCAAGUCGUGGGGCAGCAGGUCCCGCAAGGGAUGCUGGCGACCGGCAAACGGGUGCGGAACACGUACGCAACUUUCCUUCAAGCGGGGAAUAGCCCAGGGAAACUUGGAUUAAUACCCCAUAAUUUUAUGAAGUGGCAUCACUUUAUAAGUAAAGCUCCGGCACUUGAAGAUGGGCGUGCGGCUGAUUAGGUAGUUGGCGGGGUAACGGCCCACCAAGCCUGCGAUCAGUAACUGGUGUGAGAGCACGACCAGUCACACGGGCACUGAGACACGGGCCCGACUCCUACGGGAGGCAGCAGUAAGGAAUAUUGGGCAAUGGACGCAAGUCUGACCCAGCCAUGCCGCGUGGAGGAUGAAGGUCCUCUGGAUUGUAAACUUCUUUUAUCUGGGAAGAAAUCCAUAUUUUCUAAUGUGGUUGACGGUACCAGAUGAAUAAGCACCGGCUAACUCCGUGCCAGCAGCCGCGGUAAUACGGAGGGUGCAAGCGUUAUCCGGAUUCACUGGGUUUAAAGGGUGCGUAGGCGGAUUGGUAAGUCCGUGGUGAAAUCCCCGAGCUUAACUUGGGAACUGCCGUGGAUACUAUCAGUCUUGAAUAUCGUGGAGGUAAGCGGAAUAUGUCAUGUAGCGGUGAAAUGCUUAGAUAUGACAUAGAACACCAAUUGCGUAGGCAGCUUACUACUCUCAUUGACGCUGAGGCACGAAAGCGUGGGGAGCAAACAGGAUUAGAUACCCNNGUAGUCC
rnacentral:rRNA from 1 species